UGGGCCCGCGCCGCGAGCUGCAGUUCCGGGCUGCGCUCUGGCGCGGGAUUCAAGGUGUGUUCGGCGAGUCCUUGUGUAGGGGCGGCUGGGCGGGGGAGAGUCCUGAGUUUGUACUGGAAUCUGCAGCUGAGAUUAGCCAGACCGGGCCCGCCCAGAGGAGGGAUUGGAAGCUGGUGCACUUGACAUUCGAAGAGCGCGAAGGGGAAACGACGCUGCCUCACACCCAGUGCUAGGAGAGUGCGGGUACGGCCCUUCCACAUUUUUCGCUGGCCUGGGGCUCCCAGAUUUCACGAUGCUUCCCUCUAUCCCGCCUCAUUGACCCCUGGACAACCCUGAAAUAUCAUCGUCAGCAUUAUUUCAUCGGAAAGAAGGGCAGCAAGAGAGGCCGGAUGAUUCUCCCAAGGCCACACAGCUAAUUAGUGGGCAGAGCCCAGUCUAGAAGCCAUCUCACCAUCUGACACCUUUCGACAAAGUGCAAAACGCGGUGGUGAGAGACGAGGACACAGACAUUAAGAUUCCGCUCCAGCCCUAGAGGCACUGAGAAUCAGAACGUGAACUACUCUUCACUCCAGGCAGAAAGCAAGAGGCUUGGAUGAGUUUUAGGAAACCAGCACAGUGUCGGGCACAGAGCGCUCAAUGAAUAGAUGUGUAACAACAAAGUAGGGAUCCAACAGAGGAAGAAAUAAUUUAUUGUAAGGUGGCCUUUGGGAAAGCUCUCAGAAAGGUGGAUGAAUCACUUAAGAGGAAUGGACUCCAGCAGCAUCACAGAAUCAAAGCAACACCUAAGGAAUUCACUGUUUCUUCACAUACUUUGAACUGUGAAAACAAGAGUCAUCAUAAUAGCUGCAGUUUACUCAGUACCUACCAGGUACUGUCACCUAUACUGUCUCUAAAGCCCCUACAACCCUGAGCUAAGGAUGAUCAUAUCCCCAACUGCAGAUGAUGACACUGAAGCUCAACGGCUACUCAACUUGCCUGGAAUCCUACAGCAAAAACUGUUAUGAAUGUACUCCACCAAGGCAAGAAAGGAAGAAGACAUGGAAUUUAAAAAACAGAGGAUCUACUAUGAAAGAGAAAGGUGAAGGGAAUUCCAGGCUGAUGGUAAAUGCAAAUUCCAGGAUGAGAGUUGGGCAGCAGGCCUAGAGUGCACUCCGUCCUGGGAGGAGCCAGAUGAUAGAGGGCUCUAGGAGAGAAGGCUCCAAGGGAAAAUGAAACAAGUAAGUGACCUGACGUGUGUCUGAACCAGCCCAGAGGAGAUCCAUAGUUCUGAUAAGGAGUCUGGGGUGGAAAUAAUAGGUACAUGGAACACUAUGCAAACAAAAUACUAAUUAUUAAUCCUGGGAAAUAAAAGUAACUGCAGUUUACUAUGUGACUCAGCUAUAAAUAAUAUAAAUACUGUAUAUUAACCUGAUAAAAAUGAUGAUUUACCUAAAUUGGGAGGAUGGGGAAGAGAAGUAUUUGUCCGGGGACAGGGGAGCUGCAAGAGUACUAAACCGUAUCUCCCACAGUAUGAUGUCAAAAGAUAAUAUAAAUAAAUAAGAAAGAAUAAC
rnacentral:lncRNA from 1 species